CACGUAGGGCGCAAGCGUUGUCCGGAAUUAUUGGGCGUAAAGAGCUCGUAGGCGGUCUGUUGCGUCCGCUGUGAAAACUCGGGGCUUAACCCCGAGCCUGCAGUGGAUACGGGCAGACUAGAGGUAGGUAGGGGAGAAUGGAAUUCCCGGUGUAGCGGUGAAAUGCGCAGAUAUCAGGAGGAACACCGAUUGCGAAGGCAGCUCGCUGGGACGUAACUGACGCUGAGACGCGAAAGCGUGGGGAGCAAACAGG
rnacentral:rRNA from 1 species